ACAUACACACAGACACAGCUCUACUCCUUCCUUCUUACACCUCUCAGCCCAUAGGACUCAGCGUGGCUCUCCCAUCCUCCCCAUAGCAGCGGGAGCCGGUGCCCAAAUCGCAGGCGAUGCAGCGGGGAGGACAGGCACCGGGGAACGCACGCAGGGAUAAACUUAGCAGCAGGCUCGCCAGACUGUCGCAUCCACAUGGGCACCAGGAGGCCCAGGGCUCUGCACAACGAGAUGCCCACGGUGUGGUUUCAAAGGAGGCGGAACGCAGCUCGGCUGCGGCAGAGAGGCGCGAGACUCAGCUCCAUCCAAGACACAGAAAAUGAAUUAUGCAUCGUGGCCGAGCCUGGAGAUCAUUGAUGAUAAAUAAUGCUAAGUGGGAGCUGGCGGCAUGCUUCAGCUACAGCUGCCCCUGUGCUGACGCCUUCUUUUUUUCUUCCCCUUUUUGGAAGAGAACUGUGGAUUAUGGAGUGCGGUUUGAUAUGGAAAAAAGUAGCUUUUUGCAAUUGUUUUUCUUUUAAGCAGGAAAAUUUGCCUUCCUUCACAAGGUCUGCUCUUCAGUUACACCAUGGGCUUGCAUCCUUCAAACGGUGCUCAGAGCUGCGGGUCGAAGUGCACCCCAGGGAGUUCAAACACAAAUGUCAUCUGGAGCGGGGAGCUUCCUGGGACUUCCACAGUGUUCAUACAAAUUAAUUGCAUGUGAUUUUAAUUGGAAAAGUGCACCGAUCCUUUCUCGCUUCUUCUUCUAAUUCUCAGUCCCUCGUUGUGUGGGAGGUGCUCAACCCUGGCCUGCACAGGGUUGGGUGUCAUUGGGAUGCUCAACGCAAGGGAUGCUCUGCACAUGGGAUACUCAACACAAAGGAUGCUCCCCAUGCACGAUGCUCCACACUGCCUCAGUCCUGCUCUCCCCAAAGGCAGGAGCUGUUUUACUGGGGGCUGUGAUGGUCCUCUCCCUGCAGAUACAGAUGCUGGGUCUUUCUCCUUCUACAGGAAAGAGCAACAAGGGAGACCAUAUCCCUAAGGACAGGGCAAUGUCUUCUUAGCAGCCUACUGCCGUUUCUGAACACCAGGCAUGCAGAUAGAGAGUUUCUGGGUGAGGAUUUGUUCUGCGCUCAUCACUUUGACCAGGGGAUCUCACUGCACCUCUGCCAGGUGGCCACAUGAAGAACAACACAGAAGAAAGGAGAGAGCAGAGCUUAAAGUGGAUGCAAUUUCUCCGUGAGGGAUCUCAGUCAGGGGAAGCCUGUGGGCUACAGCCAGGGGUCAGGCACUGCUGGUUCCACGGAUCUAAAUCCACAGCAUGGGCUGGAACUGCACUGUGCCUGGGAAGCUGAGGCAAAGGAAGCACUGAGGGCUGGAUUUUUCCACUCAUGCUGAAUAGCCGUUGCUCCCCUGAUGUCAGAGGGAAUUUUGAGCUGGCACCAGCUCUGGCUGUUUCGUUGUAUGUGGACUCUCCGAAGAAAUGCAUCAAAUUAAUGGCAGAGUUAAGAACAGAGCCCAGGAGUGCCAAUCCCUCCUUCCUCAUCUUAACCGCAAGGAGACGGUUGCUGCUGAUGGAAAGCAAACAGAAAAGAACAGGAAGGGAGAUUUGCACUGAGCUGCAAACCUUCUGACUCUUGCACAAAUUUGAGUCAUCAAUCCCAUUUUCUCCCGGUUACUGUCCUUAAACCACUGCUGUUUCUCUGCCUGCAAAGGAAUCGUGCAGCCCACGGCUGUGGGAGCAUCCACGCUUUGUGCCUGCAUUCCGUGUGCUGGAGGGGCUCUGACGCCCACAGACCCUGCAGGGGCGCCCGUGUGACUCUGUUGGAAGGAGACAUGAAACACCACAUGUGUUUUCUGCUGCCCCCAGUUAGAUGUGAGGUGAAGGAGGCCAAGAUGGCACGGCACAAGCAAAAUCAUCCUUUAGAAGAUGCCUUACCAGGGCAGAUUGCCCUGAAGCAGCACGUUGAGUUUCUGCACUAGAGAGUGGGGAAUUGACUCCAUUUCAACUCCUUUGAUUAAGCCGAGUUAACAUCCAUCAGAGCAAAUUCUCCUGCUAUGCCUAAACUGAAAGAGUUAAAUAAAGAUAAAGAAAUAAAGAGCAGGAAAUACAACGGCUAUUACUUUGUGUCACAUUCUACAGGAUUAUUUUCUGAAGGGAAAGGCUGAGCAGCUCGUUCUGCACUAGUUACAGCCCAGCUUCUGCUCCACAGCUUUUUAUUUCCAAUGGAUAUAUCUUUGUUAAACAAGCCAGGCUGCAACCCUGCCUCCUCCAUCCAUCCUCUUAAGGAGUGUGAUUGAUGCAGCUGCAGCAGCACAACCCCGGGAGAGCAACAGAGUGAUGGGGACAGCGCAGGUGUCUGCAUUGAGGGCAGCAGAAAACGGCACGUGGGACCCUGAAUGGGUGCGCUUUGGUGGCAAACAGCACUGAACUCCUGUCCUGCAAUAGGGCUGUGUCGGACACGGUGAUGGACCCACGGAUGUGUGAUGGGAAGCCACUCCUGGCAAGCAGUCUGGAUCGUUUUUGUUUUGGUUUUGGUUUUUCCUCAAUGGAGCGGGUUCAUUCAUGCAGCUCCAGCUGUGUGCUGAGAGCCAGGGGUGCUAUGGGGAGGUGUGGCUGUAGGAGCUGCCUUGCUCAGUGCCCAUCACAGGGCUGCGGGGUGGGCUUCUCCUGUCCCAAAAGCCCUGAAGGGCUCUGGAAGCCAUGCAGGGAAACGCUCUGAUUAAACAUAAGAUGAGGCAUUAGGAUCCUUUUGCUGCUCUUCCCGUGAUGUGUGCCAUUUCCAAAGGGCGAAAGGGCAGGCUCUUCAUGCUAAAAGAAGCACGCGGGAUUUAGAAUAUGCCAACCACUGCUGCUGUGCAUCUCUUAGUAUCAUCUUAUACCAGCAACCUCUGCUGGGGAGAUUUCCAGCAGGAUUAAACCGAAAACCCCUUUUCCAGCAUCUGCUGCUGGAAGAGUGAGGGUUGCUAUGGAAACCGCAUCUGGCCUAUUCACAUGAGUUUUAUAAGGAAAGAAACAAAUAAAAAAUAAAGCAAAAACAACACAUACGUGGAG
ensembl:lncRNA